GUGGGGAAUUUUGGACAAUGGGCGAAAGCCUGAUCCAGCAAUGCCGCGUGUGUGAAGAAGGCCUUCGGGUUGUAAAGCACUUUUGUCCGGAAAGAAAUCCUUUGGGUUAAUACCUCGGAGGGAUGACGGUACCGGAAGAAUAAGGACCGGCUAACUACGUGCCAGCAGCCGCGGUAAUACGUAGGGUCCGAGCGUUAAUCGGAAUUACUGGGCGUAAAGCGUGCGCAGGCGGUUUUGUAAGACAGAUGUGAAAUCCCCGGGCUUAACCUGGGAAUUGCAUUUGUGACUGCAAGGCUAGAGUGUGUAAGAGGGGGGUAGAAUUCCACGUGUAGCAGUGAAAUGCGUAGAGAUGUGGAGGAAUACCGAUGGCGAAGGCAGCCCCCUGGGAUAACACUGACGCUCAUGCACGAAAGCGUGGGGAGCAAACAGGAUUAGAAACCCCGGUAGUCC
rnacentral:rRNA from 1 species